CCCUUAGAUGUUCUGGGCCGCACGCGCACUACACUGAUGCAUUCAACGAGUCUAAAACCUGCUCUGAUAGGGGUGGGUAAUCUUUUGAAUGUGCAUCGUGAUUGGGAUAGAUGAUUGCAAUUUUUCAUCUUCAACGAGGAAUGCCUAGUAAACGCAAGUCAUCAGCUUGCAUUGAUUACGUCCCUGCCCUUUGUACACACCGCCCGUCGCUCCUACCGAUUGAAUGAUCCGAUGAAUAUCAUGGAUUGAGGAUGCAAGUAGGUUAGCCUAUCUUCAUCUUCGAGAAGUGAAGUAAAUCUUAUCAUUUAGAGGAAGGAGAAGUCGUAACA
rnacentral:rRNA from 1 species